rnacentral:rRNA from 1 species
CAAUAGCGUAUAUUUAAGUUGCUGCAGUUAAAAAGCUCGUAGUUGGAUUUCGGGUGGGAAUGGCCGGUCCGCCGUUUCGGUGUGCACUUGCUACGCCCACCUUGCUGCCGGGGACGUGGUCUUGAGUUCACGCUCGGGACACGGAGUCGGCGAGGUUACUUUGAGUAAAUUAGAGUGUUCAAAGCAGGCCUACGCUCUGAAUACAUUAGCAUGGAAUAACACGAUAGGACUCUGGCCUAUCUUGUUGGUCUGUAGGACCGGAGUAAUGAUUAAGAGGGACAGUCGGGGGCAUUCGUAUUUCAUUGUCAGAGGUGAAAUUCUUGGAUUUAUGAAAGACGAACUACUGCGAAAGCAUUUGCCAAGGAUGUUUUCAUUAA